GACGAACGCUGGCGGCGUGCCUAAUACAUGCAAGUCGAACGGAAAGGCCCCUUUCGGGGUACUCGAGCGGCGAACGCGUGCGUAACACGUGCGUAACCUGCCCCUGACUUUGGGAUAACUUCAGGUUACUGGGGCCAAUACCGGUUCGGAAUACUUUCUGCAUGGUCGGGGUUGGAUAGUUACGGCGGUUUUGGCUGGACUUGCGGCUUAUCAGCUUGAUGGUGGGGUUGUGGCUUACCAAGGCUUUGACGGGGAGCCGGCAUGAGGGGGCGACCGGCCACAUUGGGACCGAGAGGCGGCCCAGAGUCCGACGGGAGGCAGAAGGGGGGAAAGUUGCACGAUGGGCGGAAGCCUGAGGCAGCAAGGCCGCGGGCGGGAAGACGGCCGUCGGGUUGGAAGACGAAUUCAGCAGGUGCGAAGCUUGUGGUGGAGGUACCUGCAGAAGAAGCACCGGCUAAAUACGUG
rnacentral:rRNA from 1 species